rnacentral:rRNA from 1 species
UGGGGGAUAUUGCACAAUGGGCGAAAGCCUGAUGCAGCGACGCCGCGUGGGGGAUGAAGGCCUUCGGGUUGUAAACUUCUUUUGCUCUGAACAAGGCAUGCUAAUGGGUGUGUUGAGUGUAGGGGUUGAUUAGCGCCGGCUAACUAAGUGCCAGCAGCCGCGGUAAUACGUAGGGCGCGAGCGUUGUCCGGAAUUAUUGGGCGUAAAGGGCUUGUAGGUGGCUGGUUGCGUCUGUCGUGAAAGCUCAUGGCUUAACUGUGGGUUUGCGGUGGGUACGGGCUGGCUUGAGUGCAGUAGGGGAGGCUGGAAUUCCUGGUGUAGCGGUGGAAUGCGCAGAUAUCAGGAGGAAUACCGGUGGCGAAGGCGGGUCUCUGGGCUGUUACUGACACUGAGGAGCGAAAGCAUGGGGAGCGAACAGG